GAAUGGGGAAACCCACGUGCAUAAGCACGUAUCCUUACCUGAAUACAUAGGGUAAGGAGGCGAACCGGGGGAACUGAAACAUCUAAGUACCCCGAGGAAAAGAAAUCAACCGAGAUUCCGAAAGUAGCGGCGAGCGAAAUUGGACUAGCCCUUAAGCUUUACACGCGUUAGACGAACGGUCUGGAAAGUCCGACGAUACAGGGUGAUAGUCCCGUAGUUGACGACGCGUGUUCAGUGAAAUCGAGUAGGGCGGGACACGUGAUAUCCUGUCUGAAUAUGGGGGGACCAUCCUCCAAGGCUAAAUACUACUGACUGACCGAUAGUGAACCAGUACCGUGAGGGAAAGGCGAAAAGAACCCCUGUGAGGGGAGUGAAAUAGAACCUGAAACCGUGUACGUACAAGCAGUAGGAGCAGGCUU
rnacentral:rRNA from 1 species